UAAAGCGCGCGUAGGUGGUUUGUUAAGUUGGAUGUGAAAUCCCCGGGCUCAACCUGGGAACUGCAUCCAAAACUGGCAAGCUAGAGUAUGGUAGAGGGUGGUGGAAUUUCCUGUGUAGCGGUGAAAUGCGUAGAUAUAGGAAGGAACACCAGUGGCGAAGGCGACCACCUGGACUGAUACUGACACUGAGGUGCGAAAGCGUGGGGAGCAAACAGGAUUAGAUACCCCUU
rnacentral:rRNA from 1 species